ACGGGUGAGUAACGCGUAGGAAUAUACCUUGAGGCAGGGGAUACCAUGUGGAAACGCAUGUUAAUACCGUAUGAGGUCGAAAGAUGAAAGCUGGGGACCUUUGAGGCCUGGCGCCUUAAGCAUAGCCUGCGUCCGAUUAACUAGUUGGUGGGGUAAAAGCCUACCAAGGCGAUGAUUGGUAGCUGGUCUGACAGGAUGGACAGCCACACUGGGACUGAGACACGGCCCACACUCCUACCGGAGGCAACACUGGGGAAUAUUGGACAAUGGGGGGAACCCUGAUCCAGCAAUGCCUCGUGUGUGAAGAAAGCCUGAGGGUUGUAAAGCACUAUCGUUAGGGAGGAGGACUUAUAGGUUAAGAGCUGAUAAGUUGGACGUUACCUAAAGAAGAAACACCGGCUAACUCCGUGCCAGCAGCCGCGGUAAUACGGAGGGUGCGAGCGUUAAUCGCAAUUACUGGGCGUAAAGGGUGCGUAGGUGGUUUGAUAAGUUAACUGAGAAAGACCUGGGCUCAACCUGGGGGCGUCAGUUAAGACUGUUGGACUAGAGUAUAGGAGAGGGUAGUGGAAUUUCCGGUGU
rnacentral:rRNA from 1 species